UACGGGGGGGGCAAGCGUUGUCCGGAAUUACUGGGCGUAAAGAGCUCGUAGGUGGUUUGUCGCGUUGUCCGUGAAAACUCACAACUCAAUUGUGGGCGUGCGGGCGAUACGGGCAGACUGGAGUACUGCAGGGGAGACUGGAAUUCCUGGUGUAGCGGUGGAAUGCGCAGAUAUCAGGAGGAACACCAAUAGCGAAGGCAGCUCGCUGGGACGGUACUGACGCUAAGGCGCGAAAGCGUGGGGAGCGAACAGG
rnacentral:rRNA from 1 species